rnacentral:rRNA from 1 species
CCUACGGGAGGCAGCAGUGGGGAAUAUUGCACAAUGGGCGAAACCCUGAUGCAGCGACGCCGCGUGAGUGAAGAAGUAUUUCGGUAUGUAAAACUCUAUCAGCAGGGAAGAAAAAAGACGGUACCUACCGAAGAAGCCCCGACUAACUCCGAGCCAGCAGCCGCGGUAAUACGUAGGGGGCAAGCGUUAUCCGGAGUUACUGGGUGUACAGGGAGCGUAGACGGCUGUGCAAGUCUGAAGUGAAAGCCCAGGGCUCAACCCUGGGACUGCGUUGGAAACUGGGGAGCUAGAGUGCUGGAGAGGUAAGUGGAAUUCCUAGUGUAGCGGUGAAAUGCGUAGAUAUUAGGAGGAACACCAGUGGCGAAGGCGGCUUACUGGACAGUAACUGACGUUGAGGCUCGAAAGCGUGGGGAGCAAACAGGAUUAGAUACCCUAGUAGUC